rnacentral:Y_RNA from 1 species
GGCUGGUCCGAAGGCAGUGAGUUGCCUCAAUUGAUUGUUCAUAGUAAGUUACAGACAGAACUCCUUGUUCUACUUUUCCCCCCGUUCUCAUUACUGCAUUUGACUAGUCUAAG